rnacentral:lncRNA from 1 species
AAUUUUUUUCUUUUUCUUUUUUUGUAGAGAUGAGGUCUCCCUACGUUGCCCAGGCUGGUUUUGAACUUCUGGCCUCAAGCAAUCCUCCCAAAGUGCUGGGAUUACAGAAGUGAGCCACUGGGCCUGGCCAACAAAUCAGCCCCCAAUCAGACUUUCUGUUCCUCAACAGCCAAUAAUCUCCGGGGACUAUCCUGAGUGGGGUCCUUCCUCCAGCUGCCCUCUUUCUUCCCUGGGGUUACUUCCCAGCAUUACCUCCCUGUCAGGCAGCAGAGUCUUGGGCUGAUAGCCACUGAGGAAGACAGACUGUGGUAGAGAAGUGAGGAACGGGCUCUGGAAUACAACCCCCUCUAGUCCCUGGAGCCCCGCCAUCGCUAACCCUCGGCUUCAAGGAUGUGCCUCCAGGUGACCAGGCCUGGCUCAUCUUUGGCUCCUCUGGCUAGUUCUCCUGCCAAGCCUCUCUGCACAGGCCUGGGCUCUGGGUCCAGCAUCACGCCUUGACUGCCACCGCUGAUACUGAUAAUACCACCAUUGUCAUCCUCAUCCUCUUCAUUCUCCAAGGGCUGGUUUUUCUGAGCCUUGAGAAACUUCCCUUUGUCAUAGUGUGCCUUGCGGCGCUUGUCAAAGUCGGUGGAGUCUGUGACCAUGGUGAGAGCUUGGCUUUCCCACCGCACUCUUGCCAAAGGCUCGCUCCACCUCCCCCUUUCCAUUCAAUCCACAACCCUCAUCUCAUGUUGUGGGCGAAAGAUUACCUAGGUGCCAAGGUAAGAGACUGAAGGCACAAACUGUUUCAGUAUAAUAAAGAAAUAGUUAGAAUAAGAAUAGUCAUAAUACAAAUUAGAUAUAGAGAUGAUCAUGGACAAUUAUCAA